ACCCGCUUAACUUAAGCAUAUCAAUAAGCGGAGGAAAAGAAACCAACAGGGAUUGCCCUAGUAACGGCGAGUGAAGCGGCAAUAGCUCAAAUUUGAAAUCUGGCUUCCUUGGAAGUCCGAGUUGUAAUUUGCAGAGGGCGCUUUGGCGUCGGUAGCGGUCUAAGUUCCUUGGAACAGGACGUCACAGAGGGUGAGAAUCCCGUACGUGGUCGACUACCUUCACCGUGUAAAGCCCCUUCGACGAGUCGAGUUGUUUGGGAAUGCAGCUCUAAAUGGGAGGUAAAUUUCUUCUAAAGCUAAAUACUGGCCAGAGACCGAUAGCGCACAAGUAGAGUGAUCGAAAGAUGAAAAGCACUUUGGAAAGAGAGUCAAACAGCACGUGAAAUUGUUGAAAGGGAAGCGCUUGCCGCCAGACGUGCCCGUGGUGGUUCUCCUCCGCGGGCAGGCCAGCAUCAGUUUGGGCGAUCGGAUAAAGGCCUCUGUCAUGUAUCUCCCUUCGGGGUGACCUUAUAGGGGAGGCGUAAUGCGAUCAGCCCGGACUGAGGUCCGCGCAUCUGCUAGGAUGCUGGCGUAAUGGCUGUAAGCGGCCCGUCUUGAAACACGGACCAAGGAGUCUAACAUCUAUGCGAGUGUUUGGGUGUCAAGCCCGAGCGCGUAAUGAAAGUGAACGGAGGUGGGAACCCUUUGGGUGCACCAUCGACCGAUCCUGAAGUCUUCGGAUGGAUUUGAGUAAGAGCAUGGCUGUUGGGACCCGAAAGAUGGUGAACUAUGCUUGAAUAGGGUGAAGCCAGAGGAAACUCUGGUGGAGGCUCGCAGCGGUUCUGACGUGCAAAUCGAUCGUCAAAUUUGGGCAUAGGGGCGAAAGACUAAUCGAACUUUCUUAGCGCAG
rnacentral:rRNA from 1 species